GGGUUGUGAGGUUAAGCGACUAAGCGUACACGGUGGAUGCCCUGGCAGUCAGAGGCGAUGAAGGACGUGCUAAUCUGCGAAAAGCGUCGGUAAGGUGAUAUGAACCGUUAUAGCCGGCGAUGUCCGAAUGGGGAAACCCAGUGCAAUUCGUUGCACUAUCGUUAACUGAAUACAUAGGUUAACGAGGCGAACCGGGGGAACUGAAACAUCUAAGUACCCCGAGGAAAAGAAAUCAACCGAGAUUCCCCCAGUAGCGGCGAGCGAACGGGGAGCAGCCCAGAGUCUGAAUCAGCUUGUGUGUUAGUGGAACGGUCUGGAAAGUCCGACGGUACAGGGUGAUAGUCCCGUACACCAAAAUGCACAGGCUGUGAACUCGAAGAGUAGGGCGGGACACGUGGUAUCCUGUCUGAAUAUGGGGGGACCAUCCUCCAAGGCUAAAUACUCCUGACUGACCGAUAGUGAACCAGUACCGUGAGGGAAAGGCGAAAAGAACCCCGGCGAGGGGAGUGAAAAAGAACCUGAAACCGUGUACGUACAAGCAGUGGGAGCACCUUCGGGUGUGACUGCGUACCUUUUGUAUAAUGGGUCAGCGACUUAUAUUCUGUAGCAAGGUUAACCGUAUAGGGGAGCCGCAGGGAAACCGAGUCUUAACUGGGCGUUAAGUUGCAGGGUAUAGACCCGAAACCCGGUGAUCUAGCCAUGGGCAGGUUGAAGGUUGGGUAACACUAACUGGAGGACCGAACCGACUAAUGUUGAAAAAUUAGCGGAUGACUUGUGGCUGGGGGUGAAAGGCCAAUCAAACCGGGAGAUAGCUGGUUCUCCCCGAAAGCUAUUUAGGUAGCGCCUCGUGAACUCAUCUUCGGGGGUAGAGCACUGUUUCGGCUAGGGGGUCAUCCCGACUUACCAACCCGAUGCAAACUACGAAUACCGAAGAAUGUUAUCACGGGAGACACACGGCGGGUGCUAACGUCCGUCGUGAAGAGGGAAACAACCCAGACCGCCAGCUAAGGUCCCAAAGUCAUGGUUAAGUGGGAAACGAUGUGGGAAGGCACAGACAGCCAGGAUGUUGGCUUAGAAGCAGCCAUCAUUUAAAGAAAGCGUAAUAGCUCACUGGUCGAGUCGGCCUGCGCGGAAGAUGUAACGGGGCUAAACCAUGCACCGAAGCUGCGGCAGCGACACUAUGUGUUGUUGGGUAGGGGAGCGUUCUGUAAGCCUGCGAAGGUGACCUGUGAGGGUUGCUGGAGGUAUCAGAAGUGCGAAUGCUGACAUAAGUAACGAUAAAGCGGGUGAAAAGCCCGCUCGCCGGAAGACCAAGGGUUCCUGUCCAACGUUAAUCGGGGCAGGGUGAGUCGACCCCUAAGGCGAGGCCGAAAGGCGUAGUCGAUGGGAAACAGGUUAAUAUUCCUGUACUUGGUGUUACUGCGAAGGGGGGACGGAGAAGGCUAUGUUAGCCGGGCGACGGUUGUCCCGGUUUAAGCAUGUAGGCUGAUUGUCCAGGCAAAUCCGGAUAAUCAAGGCUGAGGUGUGAUGACGAGGCACUACGGUGCUGAAGUAACAAAUGCCCUGCUUCCAGGAAAAGCCUCUAAGCAUCAGGUAACAUCAAAUCGUACCCCAAACCGACACAGGUGGUCAGGUAGAGAAUACCAAGGCGCUUGAGAGAACUCGGGUGAAGGAACUAGGCAAAAUGGUGCCGUAACUUCGGGAGAAGGCACGCUGGUGUGUAGGUGAAGUCCCUGCGGAUGGAGCUGAGACCAGUCGAAGAUACCAGCUGGCUGCAACUGUUUAUUAAAAACACAGCACUGUGCAAACACGAAAGUGGACGUAUACGGUGUGACGCCUGCCCGGUGCCGGAAGGUUAAUUGAUGGGGUUAUCCGUAAGGAGAAGCUCUUGAUCGAAGCCCCGGUAAACGGCGGCCGUAACUAUAACGGUCCUAAGGUAGCGAAAUUCCUUGUCGGGUAAGUUCCGACCUGCACGAAUGGCGUAAUGAUGGCCAGGCUGUCUCCACCCGAGACUCAGUGAAAUUGAACUCGCUGUGAAGAUGCAGUGUACCCGCGGCAAGACGGAAAGACCCCGUGAACCUUUACUAUAGCUUGACACUGAACAUUGAGCCUUGAUGUGUAGGAUAGGUGGGAGGCUUUGAAGCGUGGACGCCAGUCUGCGUGGAGCCAACCUUGAAAUACCACCCUUUAAUGUUUGAUGUUCUAACGUUGGCCCCUGACCGGGGUUGCGGACAGUGUCUGGUGGGUAGUUUGACUGGGGCGGUCUCCUCCCAAAGCGUAACGGAGGAGCACGAAGGUUAGCUAAUCCUGGUCGGACAUCAGGAGGUUAGUGCAAUGGCAUAAGCUAGCUUGACUGCGAGCGUGACGGCGCGAGCAGGUGCGAAAGCAGGUCAUAGUGAUCCGGUGGUUCUGAAUGGAAGGGCCAUCGCUCAACGGAUAAAAGGUACUCCGGGGAUAACAGGCUGAUACCGCCCAAGAGUUCAUAUCGACGGCGGUGUUUGGCACCUCGAUGUCGGCUCAUCACAUCCUGGGGCUGAAGUAGGUCCCAAGGGUAUGGCUGUUCGCCAUUUAAAGUGGUACGCGAGCUGGGUUUAGAACGUCGUGAGACAGUUCGGUCCCUAUCUGCCGUGGGCGCUGGAGAAUUGAGGGGGGCUGCUCCUAGUACGAGAGGACCGGAGUGGACGCAUCACUGGUGUUCGGGUUGUCAUGCCAAUGGCACUGCCCGGUAGCUAAAUGCGGAAGAGAUAAGUGCUGAAAGCAUCUAAGCACGAAACUUGCCCCGAGAUGAGUUCUCCCUGAGACUUUAAGUCUCCUGAAGGAACGUUGAAGACGACGACGUUGAUAGGCCGGGUGUGUAAGCGCAGCGAUGCGUUGAGCUAACCGGUACUAAUGAACCGUGAGGCUUAACCUUACAACGCCGAAG
rnacentral:rRNA from 1 species